ensembl:lncRNA
CUCAAACUCAAGAUCCUCCAGCCUCAGCCUCCCGGUAGUUGGGAUUACAGGCACACACCACCACCUCUGCUUCUUUUAUUUUUAAGAAACUUUUACUGUUACUAGGCCCUGGCAACCACGGAUCUGCUUUCUGCCUCUGUGGAUUUGCUUGCAGUGGACAUUUCCUGUAUGGAAUCAGGGAUAUACCUAAGAGUCAAGUUACCGAGUCAAAUGUCUGCUGUUCGAGAAUCAGCAUGCCAGUUAAUCUUUAUCGUCAGCUUCACUGGAUUAAGAGACUCUCGGAGAGGCAAUUGGAUUGUGAGGGUACUGACCUCAUCAGUGGGUUAAACCAUUGAUGAGUUUGUAGCUGAAUGGAUAUUAGGAAGUGGGGCCCGCUUGCAGGAAGUGGGUCAUGGGCGAGUGACCUUGGGGACUAUACCUGACUCCCUAGGCCUUUCCUUACUGGGGUUCCUUCCCUGCUCUCUGCUUCCUGCAUACCUCGAGCUGAGUUACCUUGCUUUUCCAUGCAUUUCCAUCAUGAUGUUUCUGCCUUGGAGCCAGAUAGAUGACCAUGGACUGAAACCUCUGAAACUGUGAGCCCAAAUAAACUUCUUUAAGCUGCAGGUGCCAGGCAUUUGGUUCCAGCAGUGGAAAGCUGACCAAUACAACCAUCAAACUAUUUUCUACAGCAGCUGCACCAUUUUACAUUCCCACCAACAAUGUAUGAUUGUUCUAGUUGCUCCACCUCCUCAGCAACAUUUGUUAUUUCCCAUUUUGGGGUUACAGCCAUCCUAAGAGAUGUGACCUGGUAUCUCAUUGUGUUUUUUUUUUGGCACUGGGGAUCGAACUCGGGUCCUUGUGCUUGCACAGCAGGCAGUAAAACCACUGAGCUAAAUCUCCGGCAAUUUCAUUGUGUUUUUGACUUACAUUUCCAUAGUGGUUAAUGAUGGAGAGUAUGUUUUUUAUGUGGUAAUUGCCAUUAACAUAUCUUUUUCAUAUCCUUUUUUAGAAAUAUCUAUUUAACCAUUGAGUUUUUUUCUUUUUACUGUUGAACUGUAAGAGUUCUUUAUAUAUUUAUGGACAUGAAUUCCUCAUCAGAUUUGAAAAUGUUUCCUCUCAUCUUGGUUGUUUUUUAACUUUCUUGUUAAUGUCCUUUGACUAACAGUUUUUUGGUUUUUUUUUUACUUUUGAUGAAAUUCAAUUUAGCUAUUUUUUUUUGUUUAGUUGUCUGUGUUUUAAGUGUCCUGUCAUCUUACUUUUUAAACAGCUGCAUCAUAUUCCACUGUGUGGCCAGACCAUAAUUUACUGGGCCGGGUGCCUGUGGAUGGACACUUAAGUAGCUUCCUCCCCGCUUCCUUUUUGUAGCUUCCCCUUUGCAAGUGAUGUCCAGGUCUGCAUGCCCAGGGAGAUCAGUGUGUUAAAUGCCUUUAUCAUGUUGAUGGAAACUGACAAGCCCACUGGUAGAUCCUUACUGCGGGCUGGACUCCAUGCAAAAUGCUGGCAGACAGCUGAGAACAAGGUAGCGAUGUCCCUGCCCUCAAAAACAGGUACAAAUAUAAUGUCAGGUGGGGACAAGUGCUGUGAAAUGAAGCUUCCUCAGAUGGGGGCAGGAUGAUGGCAGGGAAGGCCUCUCUGAGGAGAUGACAUUUGAGCAGACGCCUGAAGGAAGGAAAUGAGACUUCAUGCAGAUCCCAGGUGAGGAAGUGCAAAGGCCCUGAGGCAGGAGCAUGUUUGGUGUCUUUAAGGACCAAGAAAAAAGGUGUAUCAGUCCAUUUUCUUUCCUUUUUAGCGGGGAGAGGGUUGAGACAGGGUCUUACUGUGUAGCCCAGGCUGACUUCAAACUUAAGCAAUCCUCCUGCCUCAGCUUCUCUGGUGCUGAGAUUACAGGUGAGGGCCACCACACCUGGCCUGUAUUAGUCCAUCUUCUGUUACUAUAAUGAAGUGUCUGUGCCUUUAUUUAAAAAAGGGCUAAGUUCUGCAUAAUGAAAGAGUAUUUAGCUCGUGGUUAUGGAGAUUCAAGGGCAUGGCACUGUCAUUAGCUCAGCUCUGGUGAGCACCUGGUGAUUGAUGGACAUCAUCACAAUGGCAGGAGCCACGCAAAAGGGAGACAGGAAGCCAGAGAGAGAGGGAGAGGGGCCAGGCUUGCUGUCUUCUAACAGCCCUCUGGUGAGAGCUAACAGCACCGGGAAAGCUAAGCAGUCCCUUUAAGGACAUGCCCUCUGUGACAUAAGGACUGCCCACUAUAACAUAAGGACCGCCCACUGAGGCCACCUCUUAAAGGUCCCUCCACCUAACAAGGCCCACUGAGAGCCAAGCUCCCAUCACCUGAAUCCUUGGGGGACGUGUAUGACCAUGGCAGAGGCCACAGGGCUGGAGCAGAGACCAAAGGGAACAGGUCGGGGGAGAUGGGGUCAAGCAGCGUUAAGGGCCCAGAACAUAUGGCACCAUUUAGGCCACACGUGUGUUGAAUGAAUAAAUGAAGGAAGAGGCAGCUGGGUGGCUGUGGGAGUCUACAUCGUUGGAUGACCUGCCGCAGGGUGAGGCAUCAGGGCGGGCUUCCUGGGGGAGGGGUCACAGCUGAGACAGGGUUAGGUAGGAGCUGGCUGGGGAGGGGCAAGUGCAAGAGUCUGAGUUUUCCAGGCACAGGGCACUGCACAGAGGUUCAGACCCAGGGGCAUGAACAAUUAAUUUCAUUUGUGAGCAGUUUGGUUUACAAACAGAAGCAUUUAGCAAUUUUGCUUGUGUUUGUAAACUCUGUAUCAGGUGGUGAACACGGUCACCAUCUUUCCUGCACUAACAUGAACAUGGC